CCUACGGGUGGCAGCAGUAGGGAAUCUUCCGCAAUGGGCGAAAGCCUGAUGGAGCAACGCCGCGUGGGUGAAGAAGGUCUUCGGAUCGUAAAACCCUGUUGUCAGAGAAGAAUGUGCGUGAUAGUAACUGAUCACGUUUCGACUGUAUCUAACCAGAAAGCCACGGCUAACUACGUGCCAGCAGCGUCGUUAAUACGUAGGUGGCAAGCGUUAUCCGGAUUUGUGGGGCGUAAAGGGAACGCAGGCGGUCUUUUAAGUCUGAUGUGAAAGCUUUCGGCUUAACCGGCGUAGGGCAUUGGAAACUGGGAGACUUGAGUGCAGAAGAGGAGAGUGGAACUCCAUGUGUAGCGGUGAAAUGCGUAGAUAUAUGGAAGAACACCAGUGGCGAAAGCGGCUCUCUGGUCUGUAACUGACGCUGAGGUUCGAAAGCGUGGGUAGCAAACAGGAUUAGAUACCCCAGUAGUC
rnacentral:rRNA from 1 species